CGCUCAAAGGGAUAUGUAACCAAAGGAUACAACAACAAAAGUUUUUCAUCACAAGCAAUUUGGUGUAGGCUAGAGAAGCAACCUAACAAUAAUAGUAAAAGAUCUAUCUUAUGUCAUGGUUCAGUCACGUGGAUUGUUAAUUUCCCCACCAACAUCCAAACAUACUUUACAUACAAAAAAAAUUUGCUCGAAAUGACUACUGUAUUUAAAUCCAACUCCACCUAUCGAUCUGGUCAUGUGGAUUCCUAAUUGUUCUGCCUACUUAUCCAAACAAACCUUACAUACAGAAAAAAAGUAUUAAAAAUAACUAACAUAUUUAAACCAAACUGCUAGAGCCGACCAAAUUCAGAUAUCACGUGACAGUGUGACACCUAGCACCACAGUUGCAAUGAAAAAAAUAAACAGAAACAUUGGACUUCGAAAAUUCUAUUCGAAAUAAUAGAUAAGUACUACCUUUGUCCACUAGAAUCCAUUAUACUUGUGGAUGGAGGUACUAGUGUUUUGUCUAUAGUUCUAAACUUGGUGUGCAUAAUCAACAUCAUCAAUACCCUAAAGUAGUAACAGUUUUCACAAUUCACAAAAGCAAAAUGAAAUUGAAAUGCAGAAAAAAUGCAACCAUGCACCUCAUGCUACGGAUAUGAUUAUCCGUGGGUCAGGAGCAGUAUCUGACCUCACUAUUGCAUAAUAUAACACUAUUUGUUGCAAACAGAUACACUUAAAAAGGUUGAACCAGUUGCUAUUGAUGGUUUCCUAAGAUCGACAUGGAACCCUAGUAAGACUAUAAAUCUAGAACUAAUCAUGUGGGAUCAACCCACUACUGCAAGCCUAACAAUGAAGCAAACUGAGCUGGGUGUAAAAUAUUCUACACAGGAUAGAAAGGCUAGUGCUUUCAAGACACAUUGACAAAAUAUAUUGAUUUGUUAGUUGUAAAACAUGGAAUAGUAUCUAAGACUUCACUGGAUCAAAACAUCUAAAGGCUAGAAAAGAUGACUACAACUCUAGAACUGAACAUGUGCGAUCAAACCACUACUGUCAGCCCAAUGAUGGACUGAAUGGAGCUGGGUGUAACACAUUUCAUGUAGGACAAAAAAUAGUGCUCUCAAGAUGCAUGUCCAAAAAGUAGAUUAAUAAUGAGUUGGGUACAUGGCA
rnacentral:lncRNA from 1 species